rnacentral:rRNA from 1 species
CCUACGGGUGGCAGCAGUGGGGGAUAUUGCACAAUGGGGGAAACCCUGAUGCAGCGACGCCGCGUGGGUGAAGAAGCGCCUCGGCGCGUAAAGCCCUGUCAGCAGGGAAGAAAAUGACGGUACCUGAAGAAGAAGCCCCGGCUAACUACGCGCCCGCAGCCGCGGUAAUAUGGAGGGGGCAAGCGUGAUCCGGAUGUACUGGGGGUAAAGGGGGCGCAGACGGGGGUGCAAGCCAGGAGUGAAAGCCCCGGGCCCAACCCCGGGACUGCGCUUGGAACUGGCUGGCUAGAGUGCAGGAGGGGCAGGCGGAAUUCCUGGUGUAGCGGUGAAAUGCGUAGAUAUCAGGAGGAACACCGGUGGCGAAGGCGGCCUGCUGGACUGCAACUGACGUUGAGGCCCGAAAGCGUGGGGAGCAAACAGGAUUAGAUACCCUUGUAGUC